rnacentral:rRNA from 1 species
GAUGGACGCUGGCGGCGUGCCUAGUACAUGCAAGUCGAGCGAACAGACGAGGAGCUUGCUCCUCUGACGUUAGCGGCGGACGGGUGAGUAACACGUGGAUAACCUACCUAUAAGACUGGGAUAACUUCGGGAAACCGGAGCUAAUACCGGAUAAUAUAUUGAACCGCAUGGUUCAAUAGUGAAAGACGGUUUUGCUGUCACUUAUAGAUGGAUCCGCGCCGCAUUAGCUAGUUGGUAAGGUAACGGCUUACCAAGGCAACGAUGCGUAGCCGACCUGAGAGGGUGAUCGGCCACACUGGAACUGAGACACGGUCCAGACUCCUACGGGAGGCAGCAGUAGGGAAUCUUCCGCAAUGGGCGAAAGCCUGACGGAGCAACGCCGCGUGAGUGAUGAAGGUCUUCGGAUCGUAAAACUCUGUUAUUAGGGAAGAACAAAUGUGUAAGUAACUAUGCACGUCUUGACGGUACCUAAUCAGAAAGCCACGGCUAACUACGUG